rnacentral:rRNA from 1 species
AGAACGAACGCUGGCGGCAUGCCUAAUACAUGCAAGUCGAACGAACUCUUCGGAGUUAGUGGCGCACGGGUGCGUAACGCGUGGGAAUCUGCCCCUUGGUUCGGAAUAACAGUUGGAAACGACUGCUAAUACCGGAUGAUGACGAAAGUCCAAAGAUUUAUCGCCAAGGGAUGAGCCCGCGUAGGAUUAGCUAGUUGGUGAAGGUAAAGGCUACACAAGGCGACGACUCCUAGCUGGUCUGAGAGGAUGAUCACGCCACACGUGGGACUAGACGACCGCCGGACCAAGUACCGU